UACGUAGGCAGCGAGCGUUGUUCGGAGUUACUGGGCGUAAAGAGUGCGUAGGCGGUUUUCUAAGUUUGGUGUGAAAUCUCCCGGCUCAACUGGGAGGGUGCGCCGAAGACUGGAAGGCUUGAGUAUGGGAGAGGUAAGCGGAAUUCCUGGUGUAGCGGUGAAAUGCGUAGAUAUCAGGAGGAAUACCGGUGGCGAAAGCGACUCUCUGGACGGCAACUGACGCUGAGGAGCGAAAGCGUGGGUAGCAAACAGG
rnacentral:rRNA from 1 species